AUUGAACGCUGGCGGCAUGCCUAACACAUGCAAGUCGAACGGCAGCACGACCUAGCUUGCUAGGUUGGUGGCGAGUGGCGCACGGGUGAGUAAUGCGUAGGAAUAUACCUUAAAGUGGGGGACAACCUGGGGAAACUCAGGCUAAUACCGCAUGAGCUCUAAGGAGGAAAGCUGGGGACCUUUCGGGGCCUGGCGCUUUAAGAAUAGCUUACGUCCGAUUAGUUAGUUGGUGGGGUAAAGGCUUACCAAGACGAUGAUCGGUAGCUGGUCUGAGAGGAUGAUCAGCCACACGUGGACUGAGACACGGCCCAGACUCCUACGGGAGGCAGCAGUGGGGAAUAUUGGGCAAUGGGGGAAACCCUGAUCCAGCGAUGCCGCGUGUGUGAAGAAGGCCUGCGGGUUGUAAAGCACUUUCGGUGGGGAGGAGGACUUAUAGGUUAAGAGCUAAUGAGUUGGACGUUACCCACAUAAGAAGCACCGGCUAACUCCGUGCCAGCCGCCGCUGUAA
rnacentral:rRNA from 1 species